rnacentral:lncRNA from 1 species
UGUAAAUCAUGGAAGGUAAGAAAUGCUGAGGUCUGAUAAUAGCUGGCAUUCUGUAUUCCAAGGAAAUGGAGCCACCAAAUCGUACUUGAAGAUUUUGGAGAUACUGUAAAUCUAUAUCCUGGUGUUGUUUGCCCAUUUGCAAUCUGUUCUCUCUACUAGGUGUGGCUGUGGACUUUCUUCCCUCUCUAGAGUCUGUUGAAAGCCUUCAGUUUGUUUGUUAGUAUGCUGUUGAUCUGUUCACAACUCGGCAUUUGUAAAAUGCAUAUACAGGGUAUCAUCCACCUUACACCUUUUAAUUUAUUUAUGGAGUGAAGGAAGGAAAGAAGCUCCAUAACAGACACCUGAAAUAUCUUGGGAUGCAAUCCAGAAAGUCCUAUUGAGGUGAUGAUAAAUUACUACAUUUGAUACAUUUAAAAGGGUGUCUGUUUAUAAAUUGGUGUUAAAUAUAGUCAGCUCUGGGUUGUGACAAGUGGUAUUUUGUUUAGUGAUAAUUAAGUAUUUUCCAUUUUCACCACAAAUUAUUGCUUUUCUGCAGGAUAUUUCUAACUCUGAAACACAGCUAGAUUUUGGAAAUUAAUGAUAUCAACGAUAUCUGUGUAUUAAUGUAUUCCUCCUUUGAAAAUGUUGUUGUGGUGCUUAAUAAGGAUAACCUAAGCCAGAAUGAGUAUAAAUAAUGGAAAUUGCAAAAUGUAGCAAAGUUUUGUAGCAAAUGCUUGUUUUACUUUUUUUAUUGAUGUUUUUAAUUUUAUUGCUUUUUUGGACUGUAAAAUACUCAAAGUAAGAUUCCUCUAGAUGGGUGAUAGAAAAGCCAAAUAAAUAAAAUAAAUAAACAAACA